rnacentral:lncRNA from 10 species
AGGCCUGACUCGGACACACAGGUGUGAGCCUGCAACAACAAACAGCUCCUCAACCCUCAAGUACAAGAACAGGGGAAAGAGUGGCAUUCUAUAUUUUUUUGAAAACUAGCUGAACUUGGUCUGCUCUUAUUUUACCAUUUUCAUGUAUGGUUUUGCAAAUGUUUUACUUGACUUUAGCCUAUAUUUCAAAUUAUCGGAAUGUUUUAUAUUCCCAUCUAUUUUAAACUAGUAAUUACCUGUCUAAAACAAAUGGACACCUUCUUGAAAUAAAUGUAAUUAGAUUAUUACUGAUACACACAGUAUUAUUGAGACUAAAAGUAAAUAAUUUACUGCUUGAACCCGGGAGGCGGAGGUUGCAGUGAGCCGAGAUCAAGCCACUACCCUCCAGCCUGGGCAACAGAGUGAGGCUCCGUCUCAAAAAAAAAAAAGAGUAAAUAACUUACUGUACUGUUUUGCAACACCUUAGCCCUACAGUCUAAUCAUUUACACAAAGCAUUUUUCUAGAGAUUCCACUCUGAAUGUUCAUCAUGGCAUAGAAACACAACACUUUGCAACUGAUCUCCUAAUCCAAUUAAAUGUUUGUAUCUUAUUUGGUCAUUUGCCAAAACUUGUUGACUAUGUGCUGCACACGUUUCUAUUUCUACCGUGGUAACCUUAAAACACCAAGGAUAACCAGCGGAUUCUUAAUUAAUGACCUCCUCUGACUCCAGUGAUCUGUCCAGGGUCAUGUCCCACAGAUGUCAACCAAGACAGCACUCCUGCCAGACCCAUCUGGCUUUAUUUCCAGGCAAUUUCCUUUUUUGACUUCCCAUAUGUUUGCUUCUUGUCUUUCUGGUCUUUGCUUUCUGUUCCCAGUCUCUCUAACUCACUGUUUCAGCACACACCGACUUUCUCUUAAAACAUCCCUAAAGUGAUGGCUGUUUCUCAUCAUUUGUCCACGCAGUUAACUCAGAACUCAGGGACACUGACCCAGGCCUCCACUGGCUUCAAAACAAAGAGUUUGCCCAAGGUCCUCAAGGAAAUUAUUAAUGCUCAGCUCUAAUAAAAUGACCAUGCUCCCACCCCCUUCCCACACACCGUCUCAUUAGCAGGGUUUAUUUUUAUGGGUAGUACUGUGAAUCCACUAGGUAGAAGCAGGUCCUCUCGACGAUCCCCUGACGACAGCCCUUGCAGACACGGCUAUGCCCAGGCCCAUCGCCUGGAUCCUGAGCGCGUCUGGCUCUCCACGCCAACCCAUUCUGCCCGCUGACUGCUUGAGUCCUAAGCCCGACGACCCUGCCCCAGACCCUGGAGACGCUGGACGCUGGCUCACCUGGAUCCCACUCAGACCCGGGCGCGGGCUCACCUGGUCCCCCGCGGGCUUGGGCGUACGCUCAUCUGGAUCCCACUGGGACCCGGGCGCAGCCUCACCUGGUCCCCCGAGUUCCCGGGCGCGGCCACACUGGGUCCCCCUCCUGCUCGCGCCGCCCUGGGCGCCCCGGAGGAAGCUCUGUGCGGCUGCAACCCUGAGUCCCAGGCGGAGCGGUCAGCGGAGAGUUCCAGCCAACUUAUUCCGUGCGCCUCGAAAGGGAGGGUUGCUGGGCGUAUAGAUAUUCUAUUUCGCGGGGCCUUUGCGCUCCGAGUGGCCCCUCUAGGCCAGUUCCUCCGAACGCUAAUCGGGGGCUCCGCGCUCUCCCCUCGCUUCCCUUUGCUUGGGGAAUUGGCAGCGGGGCGCAGGGAUCCAUCGGAAACGCAAAACUACUUUUUCCCCCUGCUGGUCACUGUGAGGAACUGCACGUGGUGGAACUAACCUACAUGGGGUCUCAAUAUAUUGCUGAAACUGGUCUCACACUCCUGGACUCAAGCGAUCUUCCUGCCUCAGCCUCCCAAAGUGCUAAGAUUACAAGCAUGAGCCACCAUGCCUGGGUGGUCAUAGAUCUUUUAAGCCCUUUUUAUUGUUUCUCUCUCUCUCUUUGGCUUUACAAUUUUUUAGGGAUGUUUAUUUAUUUCUUAAAUUGACAGAUAAAAUUAUAUGUAUUUAUCAUUCACAUGAUAUAUAUAUAUAUACAUAUAUACACACGUUGAAGUAUAUAUACAUUGUAACAUUGAAGAAUGACUAAAUCUAGCUAAUUAACAUAUGCAUCACCUCACAUAGUUAACAUUUUGUGGUGAGAGUACUUAUCCAUUCUUGUAUAUUUUUUUCAAGAAUAAGCUUUGCAAUUUAUUUGUUGAAGAAAAGCAGUUAUUUUUAUGUGGAGUUUCACACAGUCUGGAUUUUCCUAAACUGUAUCCCUUUGGUGUGGUUUAACAUAGGGGUCCCCAAUCCCCAGGCCACUGACCAGGACCAGUCAGUGCCCUGUUAGGAAAGGGGCUGCAAAGCAGGAGGUGAGCAGCGGGCGAGUAUUAUCACCUGAGCUCUGCCUCCUGUCAGAUCAGCAUGGCAUUAGAUUCUUGUAAAACCACGAACCCUAUUGUGAACUGCACAUGCAAGGGAUCUAGGUUGCGUGCUGCUUAUGAGAAUCUAAUGCCUGAUGAUCUGAGAUGGAACAAUUUCAUCCUGAAACCAUCCCCUCCCACCCACCCCCUUGCCCCCCAUCUGUGGAAAAACUGUCUUCCAUAAAACCAGUCCCUGGUGCCAAAAAUGUUGGGGACCACUGAUUUAACAGGUUCCUCUGUCCUCUGCAUUUUUUGUCAUUUGGUAGUUAGAUUCAGAGGCUUGAUCAGGUUUAGGUUUGAUUUUAAUGGCAAGACUACUUCAUGGUUGGUAGUGUGUUCUUCCAUCAGGAGGCACAUGCAUGCCCGCUUGCCUCUUCUUUUGAGAUAGGUUAGUAUGACAGUCAGUUAUUAACAGUAGAGUCUAAAGGGCAGCAGGGGAAAAGAAAGAGAAAGGGAGGAGACAAAGAAACCAAAAUAAACAAAAAGUUACAUAGAAAGGCAGAGACAUGUAAAUGAUGACUUAGAGACCAGAUGGGGAUUUGUACAGAGAUUACCAGGAGCACAGAGAUGGAGAGGCACAGGGAGAUACAAGCAGAAACUGAUGGACGGAUGGCUGAUAUUGCCAGGGCCAAGUAAGAUAGAGGAUGAGAUCUAUUCCAUCUGCUGACACAGGUGCAGGGCAAGAAGCAAAACUGCAGUACAUGGAUGGAGACACAGGAGGGAGAAACAGAGGCACCAAGGCAACAGGGGCUUAAAAAGCAAAAAUCCUCCCCUUCAAGGAACCCCUUGCUGCUAUAGGUAGCCAUGUGACUCAGAUUUGGGGAAAGAAUCAGAGGCUUCCCUUCCUAAAAAAAAAAAAAAGAAAAAAGGAAAAAGAGCAAAGGCUUCUGGACUUCCUUAUUUCCACCUGGAAGAAAGAUGCCAUGCCUGGAGGUUCAGCAGCCAUCUUGCAACCACAAGGAUGGGACCACAUGCUAAGGAUGUUGGAGCAGGAAGACUGAAGGAGCCUAUGUCUCUGGUGACCUCCCUCAGCCCAGGUCUCGAUUGCCCCCUCCACAGACUUCUCGGAAUUCUUUCUUUCCUUCCUUCCUUUCUCUUUCUUUCUUUUCUUUUUCUCCUUUCUUUCUCUCUCUCUUUCUCUCUUCUUUAUCUCUCUCUCUUUAUCUCUCUCUCUCUCUUCUCUCCUUCUUUCUUUUUUUUUUUUUUAAAUGGAGUUUUGCUUUCGUUGCCCGGGCUGGAGUGCAAUGGCCUGAUCUUGGCUCACCGCAACCUCCGCCUCCCAAGUUCAAGCGAUUCUCCUGCCUCAGCCUUACUGAGUAGCUUGGAUUAUAGGCAUGUGCCACCAUGCCCAGCUAAUUUUGAAUUUUUAGUAGAGAUGGGGUUUCUCCAUGUUGGUCAG